GAUGAACGCUGGCGGCGUGCUUAACACAUGCAAGUCGAACGAAGCACUUUAUUUGAUUUCCUUCGGGACUGAUUAUUUUGUGACUGAGUGGCGGACGGGUGAGUAACGCGUGGGUAACCUGCCUUGUACAGGGGGAUAACAGUUGGAAACGGCUGCUAAUACCGCAUAAGCGCACAGCAUCGCAUGAUGCAGUGUGAAAAACUCCGGUGGUAUAAGAUGGACCCGCGUUGGAUUAGCUAGUUGGUGAGGUAACGGCCCACCAAGGCGACGAUCCAUAGCCGACCGGAGGGGGUGACCGGCCACAUUGGGACUGAGACACGGCCCAAACUCCUACGGAAGGCAGCAGUGGGGAAUAUUGCACAAUGAGCGAAAGCCUGAUGCGGCGACGCCGCGUGAGCGAAGAAGUAUUUCGGUAUGUAAAGCUCUAUCAGCAGGGAAGAUAAUGACGGUACCUGACUAAGAAGCACCGGCUAAAUACGUG
rnacentral:rRNA from 1 species